UCUCGAUUGGUCUAGUGGUCAGGAUACCUGCUUGUCAAACAUACAAUUCGCAGGUGGCCGGGGUUCGAUUCCCCGAUCGAGAG